rnacentral:rRNA from 1 species
ACGAACGCUGGCGGCGUGCUUAACACAUGCCAGUCGAACGGAAAGGCCCUUCGGGGUACUCGAGUGGCGAACGGGUGAGUAACACGUGGGUGAUCUGCCCUGCACUUUGGGAUAAGCCUGGGAAACUGGGUCUAAUACCGAAUAGGACCACGCGCUUCAUGGUGUGUGGUGGAAAGCUUUUGCGGUGUGGGAUGGGCCCGCGGCCUAUCAGCUUGUUGGUGGGGUAAUGGCCUACCAAGGCGACGACGGGUAGCCGGCCUGAGAGGGUGACCGGCCACACUGGGACUGAGAUACGGCCCAGACUCCUACGGGAGGCAGCAGUGGGGAAUAUUGCACAAUGGGCGCAAGCCUGAUGCAGCGACGCCGCGUGAGGGAUGACGGCCUUCGGGUUGUAAACCUCUUUCAAUAGGGACGAAGCGCAAGUGACGGUACCUAUAGAAGAAGCACCGGCCAACUACGUG